AGGGUUUGAGAGGACAUAACAAAGGCACAGAGGACCCUAGGAAGCUGAUUGCCUAUGCUCAGUUACAUUGGCUCUUGCAGGACUGGACAUUUGGCUGAAGUCACAAAACAGACACAAACAGAAUGAAGCCAGUGGUGACGACUGAGAAGCUGACCCGCCUCUGGCAUUUGUCCGUAUCCACACUAGAGAUGGAACUCCCAGGUGACUUUUGGGCCUGCCAGUUUCCCAUGCACAGGGCCACUGAAUCCGGCUGAGAGAAGAGAGCGCUAUUGUGAGGAUUCGGUCUGCUGCACAGGAAAGCACUUGGAGCAGAGUUCGCCCUUGACACUCCAUGGCAAGAGAUUGAGACCAAAGUGAAGGUAUCCAUUCUCAUUACUUGAAUUCAACAUACUACCGAAGGCUCCAGCCACUGUAGCAAGUGGCCAUACCAUUUUGAAUUCCUGCCAGAAAUGAAUGAGAGUUCCUGUUGCUCCACAUCCUCACCAGCGUUUGGUGCUGCCAGUGUUCUGACUUUGGGCAUUCUAAUAGGGCUUCUUUCUUCUUUUCCCCCUUCUUUUUCUUUCUCUAUAGAGCAUCAAGCCAGCUUCUUCCUCACCAGCCUCACCAUCCGAGUUUCUCGUGGGCAGCUUCUCAGUGAACACAGGAAGGCCUAGACCCCACUCUGGGAGCUCUGAGGACCACGGUGUGCACAGGCAGAAGCUUGAUUGUAAAGAGUGUUAACUCUUCAAGGAAAAAAAAUUAAAAAUAUUUUUUAAAGAAAAUGAAGGCCCAGAUGGAAGAGGCCCCCACCUGUAACGCCAAGGUGAGCUCAUCCCCAGGUACCACAAUGACCUGAGGUGCUUGUAAAAGAUGCCGCUCUCUUGGUGCUUGGCUAGGAGCAAGCUAUGGCAUGGAGAACAGGGAUAGACCCACCUGAAAAUCUGGACCUGCUUCUUCGUGGAUGAAGGAAUGUGCACCCAGGAGGCCAGGACCCCUGGUCACCUGCAUGAAAGGUUUGAGGUGGUGCCGCACAUUCCAGAAGGUGAUGUGGUCUCAGAUGAUGCCCAUGGGCACUGUCAGGGUGGGUCCAGGACUGCAGCUGCCUGGGCUGUUUAUUCUGCAGGCAGACAUGCCCUGGGGGCCAGUCUGAAGAGCAGCUCAGAGAAGGUGAUCAAGCUCCAUUUUCAAAAACAAAACAAAAAAGUGAAGACAGACUAACACCCAGUAAACGUGAUGUGAUCAGGGCUGCCACUUCCAGAGCACCCUGAGAGUCAAGACCAAAGAUCACCAGCAGCCUCUGAUUUGAACUUCAGAUUGGAUCUGGAGGCUAAGCAUUCUCAGCCUGCUCUAAAGCUGGACAGGCUUCCUGACACCAGAGCUGGCUGCUGGACCUGAGGAUGCACCACAGGAGGCUGAGCCUCCUCCCACAGCGGGGAGAUGGUGCCCAGGUGAAAGACACGUGUCCUGAGAGAAACCCCUCGGCCCAUCACUCAUCACAGAGGGGCCGGGGAACAGCUCCUACUUUUCUCUCAAGCAGUGAUAACAUGUGAUUUCCCAGGUCAAUCUUGAUUUCAGAAAUGUUAAAAAUAAAUGGGCCUGGAAGACUUGUAAUUUGAGAAUAAGACUUGAAAACAAGUGAAAAGCAGUGAGAACAGAUUUUGGUGCCUCCUAGACUUUUCUCAUUGGCUGCGCACAUUUAGCCUUGAAAGUAAGUAAGCUUAUAUAGCUGGUGUUCUUCAAUCAUUUCACAUGAAAUUGUUAGGUAUGUUUUGUAUAAAAAUGCAUGUGAAAGAUAUUGUGACAAAGGAAAACAAGCCUACUUGAGGAUUCUUAAGAAAAGAAAAAGGGUCAUUACUGAGAUGUCUGUGGUCUCGAAAAGUGACUAUAUCCUCUUGCCUGAGGCUGAGACAAGACAUGUCGGGUGGUCCCACUGCAUCCGCCUCACCCACCCUCUGGUGAACCAGGCGGGGAAGUCCUCCUCCUGCAGUGGAUGCACACAGACUCUCCUCACAGCUCAGAGAAAAGGCUGCUUCUGCCCACAUGUGGCUUGGCAAUCCAGGGCACCUGCCUGGGGAAUAAAAAGUCAUCCUGGGAGGUGCUUCCAUGGUGGCCUCUGGCAGAAUGACACCUUCUCAGGUACAGGACUCCACAUCCCCUUUCUGAGCCACUGGCUGAGUUGGGCGCUCUUGUAUGAGUGGGGAAUAGAAGCAAAGAUGUUGCUAACACCCUGCUUUGAAAGAUGCUUCCUAUUUAGACUGAUCUCAGGUCUAUCUGAGGCUCGAGGCACCGUAAGUCAAGAGGAGACAAUGCCACAUGCUGAACCAGGGUCAGGCAGGUACAUGCACGCAUUGCAAGGCUGUGAGGGAAUCCUUGAGGGAGAUGAGAGGAUGGAAGCUAGGGGUCAAAAGAGGAUGCACCAACGUGAAGGGAAAUGUUGACUGGGACCCACAGCAUCAAGACAAACACAUGAGCAGGCUGGAGAGGAGCCCCAGGUGAAGCUUAUUCUGGGAAAAGAGAAUAUAAGGGGUGACUUUUACUAAAGAUUCAGCUCUGAACAGAACCCAGAUAUCAUAGGGUUGCUUGUCAUGCAUCUACAUCUCCAACAAGACAUGCUAGAAGUGAUGGGAGCUUGUUACACUCAGACGUGUGACCUGGAGACUCUGAGUUCUAAUUCUAUUCCUUUGAGGCCUGCAGACAUGUCUUUGUCUUGUCUCCUAAUCUCCUUUCUGUUUAGGAAAAGACAGAACACCAGAGCCACUGUCAAAAUGGUGAGGAUGGGAUCUUGUUUUGUGGAUUCCACCAUAAUGCUAACAUAGCCCAGACUGUUGCUUUCUGUCUCCGGUUCCAUGACUUCUUAAUGACAAACUUGUUAAAAUAUGGUUUUAUUUCCAAAAUUUAAAUGCAGGUGGGACACAAUACUUCUUAAAUACUGUUUCUACCAUCUAUUCCUCCUCUUGUCCUUUUGCUUCCACUAAUAUCUAGGAAUAGCAAAAGCAUAACUACAUGAGAAGUGAUGCUUGGCUUAACUGCAUGUGGGAGAGGAGGAACUGGAAAAGAAAGAGAGCGUUCCAUUAAGAGAGGACAAAACAACACACACAGAGAAAGACAGGGACAAGAGACAGCAACAGUGGAAACAUCAUUCUUCAUAUCUUCACACUUUUCAACACUGGCUUCCUCAGCCUAUGAGGUAUCACACCAUUUACAGAGAAUAAAGGGAGGUCUAGAAUUGCCGAGGUUUGCCAAAGUUCACACAGUUCGACAGUCAUUGAAUGCAAGACCCAGACAUGCAAGCUCCUGCUGUCAACAGGGGGAAAGGAAGGGUGGAAUCAGAUCAGAUUCCCUCCUCUACCACAGUGUAUACAGUUGUAACAGGGAGGCCUGCUUCCACAGGGAGCCAACUUCACUCGCACAUCUCGCACAUCUCAGCCAUCCUCUCCCUUCUCUUGCCUUCUCUAUUCUUCAUCUGUAGCUCCUUUCCUGCAGCUGCUAGAGACACCAUCAUGUGCAAUUGCAAGCCUGGCUACUGAAGUGCAGGAGUGGCCACUGUGCCCGGAACAGCAUGCCUCAGUGGGGGAUAUGGUCAGAAUGGACACGGAGGCCACACUGCAGGAGGCCUUGGGCAUGACUGUAAGGGACUGGGUCUUGAUUCCGCAUGAAUGAGGUGGCGCUGGAGAACUCUCUGCAGAGAAGUGUCAUUAUGCAACAUUCUUUUUAAUUUUUAAAAUUUUCCUUUUGGAUUAAUUUCAGAUUUACAGAAAAGUUACAACACAAAGUAUGGAAAAUUACUAUAAACCCUUCACUUGACUUCCUCUAAUGUGCAUAUUUUACAUAAGCACAGUACAUUUUUCAAAACUAAGAAAUUAACAUUGGUUAUGACUGACUCAUCUACAGAUGUUAUUGAGAUUUCACUAGUUAUUUCAGUAGUGUCUCUUUUUUGUUCUCUUGUCUAUUUGAAAUAUCACAUUGUAUUCAGUGCCAUGUGUUUUCAGCAGGGUCACUGAAGCUGCUCUGUGGGUGGAGGGAGACAUUUAUGGGCUUUAGGAAUAGACUUAACCAAAGACAAUGUUGGUUUGGCCCAAAGCGGGAGCUUGGGCCAAGGAUUCUGGAUACAUUUUGAAGAUGAGACAGCAGCACUGGGGAGAGAGAGGAGUUAAGUGUGUGUGUGGCCUGAGCACCUAGCAGAAUGGAGCUGCCAUUUACAGAGAUGGGGAAGACCAAGAGGAGCAGGUUUGUAAGCAGUGCCAGGCACUCAGGUUGGGGGUUGGGGGAGGUUUGGGACACGCUGCCUGCUAAACAUUGAGUCUGGCAAAAGCUGCACACAGAUGGAGAGCCUUGGCCUUGGGUGAAUCCAGCCUUUGCAGACCCAUCCAGCUGAUACUGACCCAUGUAUGCCAUGUGCCAUGGCCUUCCUUGGAUUUACCACUCUUCAUUUAAUAUGGCUUCACCAGCAAGUGACAGGAGUUGCUUUACACAAACUGGCUUGACCAAGAAAUGCCCUCACCUCACAUAAUGGGAACUGGAGAGACUGGACAGCAUUCCCGGGUGCCCACAGGUCAUUUCCUAUUGCCCAAUCUGCUGCCUCAGUGUUGCUACCUGGCAGGUGGAGCUGGUCAGUUUGCAGGGGCAGAUGGCUUCUGGCAGCAGUCAGGGCACAGCCUUUUCUUCACUUCAGAGUGGGGUGGGAGGGACAGGCGAGUCCCCAUGGUGUCCUCCCCAGGCCGGCUUUCAGCCGGGAUGAGUCUGACCCCUGGGCACACUUGGCCUUGCUGGGAGACAUUUGGGUUGUCACAACUGAUCAUGGAAAACAUUGUGGGAUGCUGCUAAACAUCCUCCUGUGCAUCGGACAGCCUGACAACUGACCAGAGAUGAGGUGCACCCACCUCUUGACAGGCUUUCCUGGUACUGUGAACACUUGGGUGUCAGUGGUCCCCAGACUGGCUGGGCUGAGCUUCCCAGGCCUGCUCUUUAUUCUGCCCUAAGAUUGGUCCCUGUACAAGUGCUAUGUCCACGUCCACUUCCAAGGCAGUGGAAAGAUGCCCUCAGAUCUAUCAGAGAAAAAAAGUGUGUAUCUGUGUUUUGAAGCUUCACAUUCCUUUUAGUUUCUACUCUGGAAAGUGCGAGAAAAAGAAGGUGAUCUUCAGUUCUGAGGGUAUCUGUGGAAGUCCCCACACUGAUUCUUUCCUAGGGACCCAAUCAUAACCCUCCAGGCUUACUUUGGACUCAAUCUUACUGUGAGUUCUUCCAAAGUAGGAAGCCAGCAUUGUUUACCUUUGUGCCCUGGUGCCCAGGAACGUGUUUGGCAUGUGAUGGGCAGCUAGGUUGUUGAACUGACUUUCACUUCUGCAGUAUGGUUUAUGUGGCAUGAUGCCUGCAGUGUUUCAUUUCUGAGCAAUAUUGGAAUCCAAGGCCUAGCCCAUUGGUGGGCACACCAUGGAUACAUGAGAGUGACUGCUGACUGUUAUGUCCAAAUGCCUUUGGAUGGAAGCCCAUAUUGGCCUGAGUCACCUGAACAGCUCAUCUGAGUCUCCACAUCUGCAAAAUAUUCACAUACAUUCGGGACCAUAUGCCCUUGUUGGGUCAUUUUAAUCUUUGUUUUAACUUUCUUAUUAUUAACUUUAUUUUCUGCUUCACUGCAGGCAUAGCAGUCCUACACCCAUCCAAAAUGAAGGAAACUGUUCUGGAAACAUUUUUACCUUGGUUUCUCCUAAAGCAAGUUGGAUCUCUGUGAUGCUAUCUUGCAUGCUGCUGAAGUCAUUUUCCAGUGGUGUAAUUUUCCUGUUAACUUAAAAAGAGAAGCUCAGCAUUACAUGUCCCUCUGGGCUUCAGACAUCUGUUCCUUCCUCCCAUGUCCAGAAAUAUUAGACAAUUUCUCUCCAGCAUCAAGAGAAACAAAGUGAUGGGAGCUUAUUUCAAUUUUGAGAGAAUCUGAGUUUGUAGGACUAACACAAUGAUCAAUACCAGUUUGACAGUGGAAGGGUGUUAACAUUUAUUUCUUUUUUUUUUUUUAAGGAUUUUAUGAAUCUUUUGUCUCUCAUUUCUUAAGAAUUCUAACUACACUGCUUGAUAUCAUACAAUAAUAAUUUUUCUGAAAACUGAGAACAGAGAUUCUGUUUAGUUAAAACUUCCAAAUCAGUUGUAAAUGUGGGUAUAGUCUGAAUCAUAAUCAAUGCAAUUCAAAGACAGAAGAGAAGGAUGUCAGAGGAUACAGUGGGCAACAGGGAAGACUUCAGGAGACUUCAGGUGGAUCUCCGUAUUUCAUGAACAAAUCCCAGAUUUCCAAGAAAUAGGAAGACGAUUGUCCUGAGGUUUACAGAUCUCUUCCUCCCCCACCUCUCUCUCCUUUUUAAAAAGUAGUUGAAAAAGACUUGAGGUGACUCUAAAUACUUUUAUUUGUUAGCUUACAGUUGUAAAGAAGUUGAACAGCAUUUGUUAAGGUGGCGGGGACUGUACAGGAAGGGAGGGUGUGCAGAAGGACGGUGAUCAUGGGCAGCAGCACCAAGCUCCAGAGGAAAAGAAACAGGCAGAACUGCUUAAAAUCCCUACAAGGAAAAAAAUCAUGCAUAUCUCAGGGUACACAGGACAAGCAUUGUCAUUAGCUCAUUCCGCAACAAAUGUCACUUCUUGUGUGAUUCCAUUUCCAUUGCUCCAUUUUUGUUCAAAGUUGAAAAAAUCUGGUGUCCCUAAGCACGAAAUGGAGUAGGCUUGCAACUCUGUGGAUCUUAUGAUAAUGACACUGGUCCUUCUCCUUCCUUUGACUGUAAAGAACACUGACACAUUAUUAGGAUUUUAUUGGUACCUGUGAGCCUGACGGGACAGCAAAGACAGGGAAGGAGUUCCUGACACACAAGAUAUCACACACACAUGCUCACCGGAAAUUCUUUAAAAGGGGCUUUGAUUUAAACAUUACAAUUGCGAUUUAAAGUGCAAUAACACAGGAAUAUUUUUCUAAGAGACUCAGUUAAGUGUAUGCUAAAUUAAUUGGAUAAAAUAUAAAAUUCUGAGUGCAGGUAUUUAUUUAAAAUUCCCAGUGCUAAAAGUUUUGGGGUGAUAUUGCGAAGACACAGUGAAACAUGGUGUAAUUUCUCUCAGUAAAGGAAUUUGGGUUCCAACCAAAGGAGACAGGAAUGCAUGCAGGCAGUGAUUAGACACUGGGAGGAGAGGCAGCACUCAGUGUGGUCGGAGGCGAAGUGGAGGCAGGCUCAGGGCUGCAAAUGGGACUGCUGGUAUUCUAGAGACAGCUGCUUACUUUCUAGUUCAGCUGUCUAAAAACCUGUCCUGGGCCUGGAAGCAGGGUGCAUCUGGAGUAAAGGCUGCUUUAGAGUUUAGCUCCCACAGCAAGGUGGCAUCAUUGUAGAUCUUGACACAGGUAGCUCCUGGGGCCACUUUUAAGUUCCCUUCUGAUGUGUUGUCCUUUUUGGGACAGGUGAAUAGAGCAAUCAGAAUUGCUGCAAAUGAAGACAUUGCCCCUGAGUUGAAUGAGAGAUCUAUUCACUUCAAUCACUGUCAUUUUCCUUAAUAAUGAAGACACUAAGUUAUGACAAAUGUCUCCAUUACCUACAUCUAUGGGAAAUUAACUGAUAGAGCUUGGUACAAUAAACAGAAAAUUGAUGAGAAAAAAUUGGGGAGAAAAUUUAACAGCCAGGCCCAAAACUGAAGAAAUAUCUCCCACAGACUGUGGUUCUGUUCUGUGCAAAUAUUGUAGACUUUUACAUAUUUUGGUUGAUAAAAUAUGCUGAAUGAGACGCCCUCACAUUUGGGUAAACCAACUACAUUAUACAAAUAAAGUUUUGGAAGUA